rnacentral:lncRNA from 1 species
CCACUUGUAUAAUAUUUUGUGUAUUGUAAACCAGAUAUUAUAUAAAAUAAAUAAAGCGAAUGUUUUGUGCAAAUGCCUUGUUGUUCUGAUAUUAGCUUGUCCGAGCUAACACAACGUCAGAUUAGAGUACGGGUUGAGAAGCCUUAGGAUUUGGUCUGACGGGACGUGUUAGUGGGUGGCCUGGCCUAGUUACGAAUUGC